rnacentral:lncRNA from 1 species
AUGGAUUCGUGCUGCUCUUGUAGGCUUAAAUCUUUAUUUCUUCAAUGGAAUUAUUAUUAAUGUUACUCUUCAUGGCAUGGACUCUAAUGUGGUCGUAGAGAUGAUUAGAGGAAACACCAGAGCCUCUUGGAAAUUCUUCCUUGGAUAUAGAAUUGCCUUGAGAUGGGCUAAGGACAAGUUAUUUACUGUACAAGUUAUUUACAGUACGCAUUUGUAAUAUGGGG